rnacentral:misc_RNA from 1 species
GACGGAAGGUGCAAGCGUUACUCGGAAUCACUGGGCGUAAAGCGUCCGCAGGCGUCCUUAGUAGUCUGGCGUAAAAGCACGAAGCUCAACUCCGUGUACGUGCCGGAAACCAUAGGGAUAGAGUCAUACAGAGGCAUCUGGAAUGCUGUGUGUAGGGGUAAAAUCCGUUGAUCCACAGUAGAACGCCAAAAGCGAAGGCAGGAUGCUGGGUAUGUACUGACGCUCAGGGACGAAAGCGUGGGGAGCGAACGGG